AGGCAGCAGUGGGGAAUAUUGCACAAUCGGGGGAAACCCUGAUGCAGCCAUGCCGCGUGUGUGAAGAAGGCCUUCGGGUUGUAAAGCACUUUCAGUAGGGAGGAAGGUAGUGUAGUUAACACCUGCAUUAUUUGACGUUACCUACAGAAGAAGCACCGGCUAACUCCGUGCCAGCAGCCGCGGUAAUACGGAGGGUGCGAGCGUUAAUCGGAAUUACUGGGCGUAAAGCGCAUGCAGGUGGCCUGUUAAGUCAGAUGUGAAAGCCCGGGGCUUAACCUCGGAAUUGCAUUUGAAACUGGCAGGCUAGAGUCUUGUAGAGGGGGGUAGGAAUUUCAGGUGUAGCGGUGAAAUGCGUAGAGAUCUGAAGGAAUACCAGUGGCGAAGGCGGCCCCCUGGACAAAGACUGACGCUCAGAUGCGAAAGCGUGGGGAGCAAACAGGAUUAGAUACCCUGGUAG
rnacentral:rRNA from 1 species